UUUCUGUAGGUGAACCUGCGGAAGGAUCAUUAUUGUAUAACCGAGGUGCGAGGGCUGUCGCUGACCCGAAAGGUCGUGCACGCCCGAGUGCCCUCACACACAUCCAUCUCACCCCUAUGUGCACCACCGCGUGGGUCCCCCUUUGGCUUGUUCGGAGGGGGGCUUACGUUUUCACACAAACUCUGUAUGCAGUGUAGAAUGUAUUUUUUGUUUUUGCGAUCACGCAAUCAAUACAACUUUCAACAACGGAUCUCUUGGCUCUCGCAUCGAUGUAGAACGCAGC
rnacentral:misc_RNA from 1 species